ACAAUCAAGAAAUUCUUAGACUCC
rnacentral:miRNA from 1 species